rfam:Desulfotomaculum australicum DSM 11792 genome assembly, contig: EJ60DRAFT_scaffold00029.29
GUUGCACCCGGCUUCCAUGCCGGGUGAGGAUUGAAAC